AGUCCGUGACGGGGACAAAGUCUAAGCAUCUCUUUAAACCGUUCCCAGGAUUCGUAUAGUGAUUCCCCAUCUCUCUAUUUAAAACUUAUUAUCUGGUUUUUGAGCU